rnacentral:tRNA from 1 species
GGUGGCUAUGGUGAAGCGGUUAACACAAACGACUGUGACUCGUUCAUACGUGGGUUCGAAUCCCACUAGCCACCCCA